CCUACGUGUGGCAGCAGUGAGGACUAUUGGUCAAUGGGCGCGAGCCUGAACCAGCCAAGUAGCGUGAAGGAUGACUGCCCUACGGGUUGUACACUUCUUUUAUAAAGGAAUAAAGUGAGGCACGUGUGCCUUUUUGUAUGUACUUUAUGAAUAAGGAUCGGCUAACUACGUGCAAGCAGCCUCGGUAAUACGGAGGAUCCGAGCGUUAUCCGGAUUUAUUGGGUUUAAAGGGAGCGUAGAUGGGUUGUUAAGUCAGUUGUGAAAGUUUGCGGCUCAACCGUAAAAUUGCAAUUGAUACUGGCAGUCUUGAGUACAGUUGAGGUAGGCGGAAUUCGUGGUGUAGCGGUGAAAUGCGUAGAUAUCACGAAGAACUCCGAUUGUGAAGGCAGCUUACUAAACUGCCACUGACAUUGAUGCUCGAAAGUGUGGGUAUCAAACAGGAUUAGAUACCCCUGUAGUC
rnacentral:rRNA from 1 species